GCACAAGCGGUGGAGCAUGUGGUUUAAUUCGAAGCUACGCGAAGAACCUUACCAGGUCUUGACAUCUUCUGACAGUCUAAGAGAUUAGAGGUUCCCUUCGGGGACAGAAUGACAGGUGGUGCAUGGUUGUCGUCAGCUCGUGUCGUGAGAUGUUGGGUUAAGUCCCGCAACGAGCGCAACCCUUAUUACUAGUUGCCAGCAUUAAGUUGGGCACUCUAGUGAGACUGCCGGUGACAAACCGGAGGAAGGUGGGGACGACGUCAAAUCAUCAUGCCCCUUAUGACCUGGGCUACACACGUGCUACAAUGGAUGGUACAACGAGUCGCGAGACCGCGAGGUUAAGCUAAUCUCUUAAAACCAUUCUCAGUUCGGACUGUAGGCUGCAACUCGCCUACACGAAGUCGGAAUCGCUAGUAAUCGCGGAUCAGCAUGCCGCGGUGAAUACGUUCCCGGGCCUUGUACACACCGCCCGUCACACCAUGAGAGUUUGUAACACCCAAAGCCGGUGGGGU
rnacentral:rRNA from 1 species